CAGACAGGAAGUCAAGCGGCGUAACCUCAGGAAGCAAAUGUGGUUGGAAUUGGAAUACAACUUGUUUGAAAGCUUGGCAUUCUGAAAGAUUCAUCAAGCCUUUGCGUGACAAGAAAACAUUAUUCCACUUUGACGACAACGGCCUUUGGAAUGAAUAAAAACUCUUGGCUGGGAUGAAGUUUCCACUUCUACAUCUGAGUCACAAGGAGAAGAAUAAUGCUGCCCGGACGAUUACCUGAGUGGAAGUCAAUGUGGAUGCAGCUCCCCUUCUCAUAUCCAUCAUGUCAUGUUGCAUUGCAAAUGAGGUCUGAUGUACUUUCUGUGGAAUGAAGUGGAAAGUAACACACACACAACUACAGUAAUACCUCGACUUGCCCGCAGGACCAGUUGGUCCCUUGAAGCCCCUCUGUCCUUCAUCUCCUUUGGCUCCAUUCAUUCCCUGCUGCCCACGAGGACCUAGCUCGCCAUCUGCGCCCUGAAACACGCAAAGCCGGAUCAACACUGCGAAACAAACCAAAGGAUCCACUGCGGAUGCACACUGAUGCUGUGUAUUGGGAGUUAUGGCGGCGUACAAGCAUUCCUGGCUGGCCCACGGGUCCUUGAAUUCCAAUAGGUCCCGGAGGUCCCUAAAAAGCAGACCGACUGUUAAAUACUUUCGCUGAAGACAUGAUUAAAAGCCAUCUGCUCAUUAUCCCGGCGGGGUGCAUUGUACAGACAAACUGUUAUCAUAAUGAAUUAUCCCAAACCAAUUAUGAGCCAGGAUGUCCUCUGCCUCCUGCUGAUGCAAGUCACAAAUGGAAUUCAUACUCACUGCUUCUCCUUUGUCUCCCUUGCUUCCCUUCUGGCCCGGUCCUCCUGUCUCACCCUACGGAUACAGAUGCACUCAUGUCAACACAAACACACAGUCUUCAUUGGCACACAUAGGGCUACUGAAGUAGAUGAGUUCUUGUUCCUGGAGCUAUACAAAACGUAGAUUUUUGUCAAACAGCUAAUAUUGGAUGCAGUGUAACUAUUGGUACCUAUUCCAAGCCCAAAAUGAGACGGGUAUGUUCCCAAACAGGUUUUUACCCAAACAGAACCUUUGACGAUACCACUUUAGUGGUGAGUCAUUGUACCCUUCAAAGUGCAAUGUUAUGUCCGUCAGUCAGGGUUGAAUACCUUGUCUCCGUCCUCCCCUGGAGGCCCAGGUGGUCCUACAGGUCCUGGCAGCCCAAAAGGUCCUUGUUCCCCGUCAUGCCCGGCCAUCCCGGCGGGGCCUUUCUCUCCCUUGGAAACAAUGAAAGCGCACACAAUCGAGGUUAUCGUUAUGCAUCGGAUCAAAUUGGGCGCGUAAACUCAAUUCAGAGUGUUUUUGGAGUCUUACUGGUUC